rnacentral:rRNA from 1 species
CACGUAGGGGGCGAGCGUUGUCCGGAAUCAUUGGGCGUAAAGAGCUCGUAGGCGGCUCAGUAAGUCGGAUGUGAAACCUCCAGGCUCAACCUGGAGACGCCAUCUGAUACUGCCGUGGCUUGAGUCCAGUAGGGGAGUGUGGAAUUCCCGGUGUAGCGGUGAAAUGCGCAGAUAUCGGGAGGAACACCAGCGGCGAAGGCGGCACUCUGGGCUGGAACUGACGCUGAGGAGCGAAAGCGUGGGUAGCAAACAGGA